rnacentral:rRNA from 1 species
AUUGAACGCUGGCGGCAUGCCUUACACAUGCAAGUCGAACGGUAACAGGUCUUCGGAUGCUGACGAGUGGCGAACGGGUGAGUAAUACAUCGGAACGUGCCUAGUAGUGGGGGAUAACUACUCGAAAGAGUGGCUAAUACCGCAUGAGAUCUACGGAUGAAAGCAGGGGAUCGCAAGACCUUGUGCUACUAGAGCGGCCGAUGGCAGAUUAGGGUGUUGGUGGGAUAAAAGCUUACCAAGCCGACGGUCUGUAGCUGGUCUGAGAGGACGAUCAGCCAAACUGGGACUGAGACACGGGCCAGACUCCUACGGAAGGCAGCAGUGGGGAAUUUUGGACAAUGGGCGCAAGCCUGAUCCAGCAAUGCCGCGUGCAGGAUGAAGGCCUUCGGGUUGUAAACUGCUUUUGUACGGAACGAAAAGCCCCGGGUUAAUACCCUGGGGUCAUGACGGUACCGUAAGAAUAAGCACCGGCUAACUACGUGCCAGCAGCCGCCGUAA